rnacentral:lncRNA from 1 species
AGGCUUCAGAAAUCUGCUUAAACUUGGCUUCCGCUUCCUUCUUAUUAUUGGGAUUCUUAUCGGGGUGCCAUCUCAUUGCAAGCUUUCUAUAAGCCUUCUUCAAGUCCUCAUCUUUGGCACUUUUAUCCACCUGCAGAAUCUUGUAAUAGUCCACCCCCAUCUCCCCUUCCUCAAUUCUCUUUCUCUUCUUCACUUUGCCAAAACUCUUCUUUUACCCUUAGGCACUUUUCUACAGAAACCCCGAAAUCAUGAACAAAAAUAGCAACAAAAUAUCCUUUUUGUGAAAAUUGGCUAUGGAAUUUAGGUGGGUCUAGAGUUUAUAGAUGGGCAUAUCAGUGUCAUGUAUAGCUUACGAAUGUGGGGGCUAGAGAACAGAAGAUCGACUGCCUCGGAAAAGAGAUACGAGAGAACUGUGGAACAUUCCGGAAACAGCUCUCAACGUUUGGUUAUAGUUACAUGGAUUGUCCAUUAUAACAAGCUUUAAAAAUUUAUUUUUUCAAAAUUCAUUUUGUAUCACAUAUUUUUCGAUGAAACAAUAUUACACGCUAACUCAAGACUUUUUCGUAAUUUUUAACCAUAUAUUUUUUAUCAACACUAUUUAAAAAUGCAUUCUUUCCUCAAAAUGGGAUUUAAACAAGGACAUAAUUGUCACAGUACAUUAACAGUCCAUUGGAUCCAUUACAAAUGUGGGAAAGAAAAGAUAGAGAUCAAACUGUUCAACCACGAGGUAAGGAGAUCGAUUAUUGAACAAGUUUUCAAGAUCGGUCCGAUUAUUAUCACGAAAAAUUAUUAAAGAUGACUUAGAAUCAAUUUGGGAAUGAUAAGAUCAAAAGUUGAACUCACAUGGUGAUAAGAUCCGUUAUGUAAAAAGUUUUAAAGAUCGGCUCGAGUAUUAUCAAGAAAAAUAAAUAGUUUAAAGGUCGAAUUAGAAUUAAUCCAAGAUUGUUAAAAGAUUCAGAGGUGAAUUUGUCAUUUUUUGUGAAUCAAGUAGUUUUUGUCUAAUACAUUUUGUCAAUAAUGAUGCAAUUUAAUUUUCAUAAUGGGUGAUGUUAUACUUACAUCAAGGUAUUCAUAAUGGUAUACACCCUCUUACAUGGGGGACCUACAUCGAAUAUUUUACUCGAAGUGAGUUUUCCUCCUUGUGAGGGAAUGGACACCAUUAUGGCCAUUGUAUUAUAUACAAGUAACUAUUCCUUUUCAUAAGAGAGAUUAACAACAUGAAUUAAUUUUUGUCUAUAAGAUAGUUUAAAUUUUUCGAAAAGUUGUUUAACAAGAGGGCGAGAAGAAAAAAAAUAAAAGGAAAUUGUUGGUAACUUUUAUAUUAAAAAAAGUAGGAGUUCCCUUUGUUGGUAAAAUUUGUAAUUCAAAAUUGUAUCUCGGUAUAAUGUUAUAAAUAUCACAUCCUACGACAAUAUUUUCAUAUUUCUAGGAAGGCUACUACGUAUAACUGCCUCUUGCAUGGUGCUUCGUCUCAAAGUUGACGACGUUUCAAUAACUACAUAGACGAUUGCUCGAGAUAAGGCAUGUGGAUACAUAACCAUGUGGCAUGGCGUUAUGAAGUCUUAGAACAAGGCUUGUAUUGCAAUUUAUUGGAGUUGCAAGUCAUAGUAUUUACUUGAAGGUCCACAAUGUGGAAAGUUGAUGGAGCAUGUGGUACGACAAUGUUUUUCUUUUUGACCUUUAUUUGGGUAUUUGACCAAAAUACAUUUCAUGCAACCUAUGUCGACAAGGGAUGGACAAUCAAUUGAAUGAAAAGUGCUUGAUCGGGAAUGCAUGGUCAUUUAACCAUGUUGCACAUGUUGUGCUUCUGAGGCACAACAUUCAUGACAAUGUAUUGCAUGAAAUCGAAAUGUGUUGUGUUGAAAGCCUUUUAUGGUAUAGAUUGAUAGUUACUAUAUCACAUACAUUGUCCAUGUGCAACGACUUAGAUGUCAUUGAAGUACUAAUUAGAUACAAUUUGGUGGUUUGGUCGAAAAUUGCUAGGGUCUGUAUAUUAAUCAUUUAUCCAUGACUUAUUAAUAUGUAUUUAUAAUUUAACUGAUUAUAAACAACUUCGAACAUGAGAGUGUCUUGUUCGUAUCAAUUCCACAACAAACCAAUUAUCAAGCUAAUGAAUUACUGAGUCAAUGACCAGGGGUUUCUAAUUUGGUUGUUGUGCAAUGGCCUCGUCUCAGGUCCAUACUCAAAGGGAGCCAAAAAUUCUGGAUUUUUUUUUUCCUGCCUAUUUUAAAUGUUAGAAUAAUAGAUGUAAAAUCUUCAUAGUUUAGUGGUAAGGAAGUCUUUUUUUUUUUCCCCUCCUCCUCCUCCUUCUUCUUCUUUUUAUUAUUAUUAUUAUUAUUUUUUUUUUUUUUCCCCUCCUCCUCCUCCUUCUUCUUCUUUUUAUUAUUAUUAUUAUUAUUUUUUUUUUUUUAAUUUUUAUUUUGGGUGGAAGAUUAUGGGUUGAAAUCCUAAUUUCGCCUCAUAUCCCUUUUUUUUCUUUUCCUUUUGAGAAAUUUAUACAAUCAGGCCUCUUUCAUAGUCUAAUAAUAAAUUCAUCCCAACCUUUGAAAAAUGACUAUUUACUUCUGUUGGCAUUGUUGCAUAAAUUGAAAGGAACCAUAUUCAUAAAAUCCUUUCAUAAAAUCAUAAAUUUCAUGUUGAAAUCAAAGAGACAAUAAAAAAAAAUGCGGAAACAUACCUUGAUCCAUGAAUCUUACUGCUUUAAUUGGGUUUUGAUCUUCCAAUUGAUACGUGAUUUUCCUUCCUUUUGAUUUUCUUGAAAAGUCUCUGUUAAUGGGGAUGCAGAGAUUCCAUAAAAAAAAAUCACGUUCAAAUUGGGGACCAUAACCACUUUUAAAAUAACUGCUAUUGGCAGUUAUUAACUUUAAGUUAUUUCAAAUCGACCCCUCAUCAAUUCAAAAUAACACCUUCUGGUCUCUACACUUUAAUCUCAUUUAAUACUCAUUAGUCCAAAAUUAAAUCCAAUGGAUCACUUUAUCGACUAAAUUUACUUUAAAAUAGCACCACACAUUCUAAUAAAUGUACAUGUGUGGCCCCCAAAGUUGGAAUUUUUUUCCAACAAUCUCCCACUGGGCCAAACAUGUUACAUUAUAAGUGUGCACAGACUUAUGAGUUCAAAAUUGUGCUAUAGUUAUUAAAGGUAUUUUCAAACAAUCUCGUCCAUUAGUUACAUCGAUGUAGGAUCAAAGCGAUUUUCGUCACAUUUAUUGUGACUAAAUCCAUCAAUGGUCACGUACACCCAUACAACCAAAUGACAUAGAUCAAUUAUGGAAGUGUAGCAUGGAAAUUACAUGUUAUGUGAUCCGAACAUGUCUAUUUCCAACUGGUACAACCUUAUUUCUUAAGUGAGAUCAGUACUAAACAUAAUAACAGAGUGGAAUGAACUGAAUACUUUAUUUCUGUACAGAAAAUAUCCAAAUACAUAAAUGUGUUCAAAGAACUAAACAUAUAUAAAGCAAUAAGAAUACAAACUCCCACUAAAACAUGAUAUCCUCAAAAAGUACAACACCCAUAUGAGCGGUGUGCUCAUGAAAGACCUUGGGUGGUAAUCCCUUAAUAAACGGAUCCGCAAUCAUGGAGUUUGUUCCAAUGUGCUCUAUAGAAAUCUGUCCACUCUGUACUCUUUCCUUCACAACCAGGAAUUUAAUGUCAAUAUGUUUUGAUUUAGAUGAGCUCCUGUUGUUGUUAGAAUAUAGAACUGCUGAGUUGUUGUCACAAUACAACUUUAGUGGUCUUUCUAUGCCAUUCAGAAUGCGCAGCCCAGUGACAAAAUUUCGCAGCCAUAUUCCAUGAUUAGAUGCCUCAUAGCAUGCUACAAAAUCUGCUGCCAUGGUAGAAGGAGCUAUGAGUGUCUGCUUGGUACUCUUCCAGGAAAUAGCUCCUCCAGCUAGCAGAAAAAUAUAACCUGAUGUGGAUCUUCUACUAUCUUGGCAUCCAGCAAAAUCAGAAUCGGAGUACCCUAUGAUCUCUAACUGAUCUGAUCUGCUAUAUGUGAGCAUAUAAUCCUUUGUUCUCUUUAGAUACCUCAUAACCCUUUUAGCUGCCUUCCAAUGAUCCAUCCCAGGGUUGCUUAAAUAUCUGCCUAGCAUUCCAACAAUAAAUGCUAUGUCUGGGCGUGUACAUACUUGAGCAUACAUUAGACUCCCAAUAGCUGAUGCAUAGGGAAUCUUCUACAUUUCCUUAACUUCAAGGUCAUUUUGUGGGCACUGUUUGAGACUAAAUUUGUCUCCCUUAGCGACAGGGGUGUCACCUGGUUUACAGUCUUGCAUGCCAAACCUCUUAAGUACUUUAUCGAUAUAGCUCUUUUGUGACAGUCCAAGAAUACCUCAAGAACGAUCCCGAUGUAUCUGAAUCCCUAAUACAAAAGAGGCGUCACCAAGAUCUUUCAUCUCAAAAUUCUUUGAUAAAAAUCUCUUGGUUUCGUGCAACAUGCCUAUAUCGUUAGUGGCAAGCAGUAUGUCAUCAACAUACAAAACCAGGAAAAUAUGCUUACUCCCACUAAACUUGUGAUACACACAAUCAUCAACGACAUUUACCUCAAAACCAAAUAAGAUAAUGACCUGAUGAAAUUUGUGAUACCAUUGACGGGAAGCUUGCUUGAGCCCGUAGAUGGAUUUCUUUAAUUUGCAAACCAUUUUCUUCGAGUCUCCUGACAUAAAGUUUUCUGGUUGCACCAUAUAAAUUGUCUCAUCAAUGUCGCCAUUGAGAAACGCCGUCUUGACAUCCAUCUGAUGUAACUCAAGGUCAAAGUGCGCAACAAGUGCCAUAAUUGUCCUUAAAGAGUCUUUCGUUGAAACUGGAGAGAAAGUCUCUUUGAAGUCAAUGCCUUCCUUUUAGGUAAAGCCUUUAGCCACAAGACGAGCCUUAUAUCUUUCCACAUUACCAUUUGAAUCCCUCUUGGUUUUAAAAAUCCAUUUACAACCAAUGGGCUUCACACCUUCAGGUAAUGGGACAAGAUCCCAAACUUUAUUGUCUUGCAUAGACUUAUACUCCUCAUUCAUGGCAUCAAUCCACUUUUGAGAGUUAGAACCCUGCAUGGCCUGAUGGAAAUUGAUUGGAUCAUCUCCCACCAUUCCAUUAUUUUCCUCAUGUUCUUGGAGAAAUACUAUGAAAUCAUCUGAAAUAGUACUUUUCCUCUCUCUCGUGGAUCUCCUUAAUGGUAUUGGCUCUUGAGGUUGUUGAGUUUGUAUUUCUGGAAUAAUUACCUCAUUUUGGAUGGGAGGUACUUCAACAUUGUCUGGUUGAGGUUCUGGAUAUGCUUCUUGAUCAACAACAGGUAUAGAAACCUGUACAUUGUCAAAAGCAAUAGUAGGAAUCGAAACCGAUCCUUCCUCAACUUCUUCCUCAAAGACAAUGUCUCUAACCUUAUUUCUCUCCCCAAACUCAACAUCCUCAAAAAAUGUUGCGGUUCCCAUUUCAAAAAUUGACUUAAGUGUGGGAUCAUAAAAUUUAUAGCCCUUGGAUCGCUCAGAAUAGCCAAUAAAAUAGCUGCUAAUUGUUUUGGAGUCCAAUUUCUUUUCAUGUGGCCUAUAAGGCCUAGCCUCAACUGGACAUCCCCAAAUGUGAAAAUGCUUUAGACUAGGCUUUCUGCCUGUCCAAAGUUCAUAAGGUGUUUUAGCAGCAGCCUUAGUUGGUACUCUGUUCAAAAUAUAAGCUGCAGUCUUUAAUGCUUCUCCCUAGAGUGAUUUCCGUAAGGUGGAAUGACUAAUCAUACUUCUUACCAUGUCCUUAAGAGUUCUGUUUCGUCUUUCAGCUACACACAUCUGAAGUUCUUUUAGCACCUAAUCUCCUUGUUUUGGUCUGUUUUCCCUUGAUACACUCGAUACAUAUAUCAAAAUCGGUGAAAUCAAGGGAAUCCAAAAUACCAUCUGACACAAGUCGUUCAACUCUAGUUUUUGAGAUGUGACCUAAGCGCUUGUACCAUAAUGUUGCAGAAUUUUCUUUAUUUAAUUUGCGUUUAGUACCACGUGAAUCCACAUGCAAGGUCUCAUUAUAUGAUGCAAUAAUAUCAAGCAAAUACAGGUUAUCAUAUGCAGAUAAUGAACCAGUACCAAUAAUAUUGGAAUUUAAAGAAAGACUAAACUGAUUGUUUCCAAAUGAACAACAAUAACCUAAUUUAUCCAAGGAAGAAGCAGAAAUUAAAUUCCGUCUAAAAGACGGUACAACGAAAGUGUCUUUCAAAUCCAAAUAACAACCAGUUCUUAAUAACAACCUAAAAGUCCCUAUUACAUCAACUUCCACCGAUUUGCCAUUACCCACAUAGAUGUAUUUUUCAUCAUCACUUGGCUUUUGGUAGUUCAGGCAGCCCUGCAUAGAAACACUUAUAUGAGUAGUAGCACCAAAAUCUAUCCACCAAGUGUUUCUAGGUAUUGAAGCUAAAUUAUCCUCAGAACAGACCAAAGUAAGAAGUGUACCUUUCUUUGUACGUCAUGCGUGAUAUUUGGCACAGUCCUUCUUCAUAUGUCCAGACUGAUGGCAAAAGAAACAAGUAUCUUUGUCUUCCUUUCGUUUCUUUUGUGCUGGACCCUUAGGAGCAGCUUCAUAUUCCUUCUUCUUUUUCUUGCCCUUAUCCUUAGAAGUGCUUGCCAAGUGAGCACUUUCAGUUCUUUAUUGCUUCAACCUUUCUUCCUCUUGCACACAAUAUGAAAUGAGCUCAUUUAAAGACCAUUUCUCCUUCUGACAGUUAUAACUGACCUUAAAUUGACUGAACUGUGCAGGAAGCGAGAUCAAUACCAAAUGAAUGAGCAAGUCAUCGGAUAGCUCGAGCUUUAGACCUUUAAGUUUUGAAGCAAUAUGAGACAUCUCCAUGAUGUACUUCCUUAAGUUUCCCUUGCCCUUGUACUUCAUUGAAAUCAAGAUUUGCAAAAGCGUGCUUGUUUCAGCCUUAUCAUUUUUCACAAAACGCUUCUCAAUUUCGACAAGGAACUCCUUGGCAUUAGUUAUCCCUUCGGAUACUGCACCUCUAAAGGCUUCCGGAAUGCCGCGCUUAAUGAUCAUUCGACUCAUGCGAUUUGAGCGAGCCCACCUCUCAAAGUUCCUCUUUUCAUCAGGAGAACUUUCUUCCGUAAGAGGGGUGAGUUCCUCAACCCGAAGUGCAAGGUCAAGAUCCAUGCAGCCAAGAACAAUCAAUAUGUUCGCUUUUCAAUCCUUGAAGUUUGUUCCAUUAAGUAUGGGAAUUGAAUUGACAUUAGCAGAUAUUGUAGUAGCAGAUGAACUAGCUGUAGAGAGAACAGAAAGAAACGAUUAAUUAUGCUCAUAUCCAUAUUUAAUGAACAAUAAAUUCAAAUAAUGGUAAGUCUCAUCUCAAGAUACCUAGUGCAACAUUAAUAUCAAGUCUUUGGACAGUAAUACUAAUUGCAAGUGGUACUCUCGUUGUAGUGAUCGAACAUUGACAAUAACUCCUGUCAAAUAAUAAACCUAUCUUUGGAUUGAUUUAUUAUUUACAUGGAAACCUUAUAAUUGUCACACAUUCACCACCACAAGUAUGUAUGUAAUUCGGCCAAGUAUUAACCUUUCUUUGGGCCGGCUAAUACCCGCAUGAAAAAACACACACACAUCUAAACAUCCAAAUAAACCAAUCUACACAAAAGAGGUCACUUUGACGACAUAUUGUUUCAAUUAGUUUAUUUAAAAAUGCUAGAUAACCUUAAUUUAUUAUGAAUAAAUUACCAAAAUAUUUGAAUUUUAUUAUUCCACAUAAUUAAAUCUUAAUUAUUCCUCUUAAGGGAGUCUUUAGUACCAAAAUUAUAGAGAGAGAAUCACUAAUUUUGCAUUAUUAGAUGCCUUUAGAAAGUUUAGGGACCUAAGGAUUAAUAAUUUAAAACUUUAGGGAUCAAAAUUUGAAAAAUUUUAAAACUUUAAGGGCUAAUUUUAAUUAAUUAUGAACUUUGGGGACUUUAAUUGUAAAAUUCAAAAGUUUAAUGGCCCAGAUUAAAUAAUUUUCCAAAAUCUAGGGGCUGAAUUAUUAAACCCAUAACCUUAAGGUCCAACUUGGAUGGAUAACAAAGUUUAGGGACUGAAUUUAAAAUUUUAAUUUUAAAACCCUAAUUAGAAAUUGCAAGCAAGGACUUGAGAUUACAAAAAUUGCACCUCAGGCCUCCGCCCCCAAAAAUCCACCGGCUGCAUCUCUCUCUUUCUCUCUUUUACGGCGCCGGCCCAGUUAAAAUUGUUUUUUUUUUUUUUAAACCAAAACCAGAAAAAUGAAAUUUUAAAACUUUAGAUUCCAAAACCUUUUACUGGAUCUAGAUCUAUAACCAUAAAUAAUAUGCUAAACAAUUCUCAAAUUCAACAAUAAUGAAUCCAAAUAGUUAAAUUUGAAAAUCUCAUAAAAAAAAAAAUUGCAGAAAUUUAAAUUUCACAUAACAUCAUGGAAGAUCCAUAACAAUAACCAAAAAAAAUACUAAAUUAUUGCAAUUUCUCAAAGUUUUCAACAAUGGAUGGCUCUGAUACCACUUGUUGCAUAAAUUGAAAGGAACCAUAUUCAUAAAAUCCUUUCAUAAAAUCAUAAAUUCCAUGUAGAAAUCAAAGAAACAAUAAAAAAAAAUGCGGAAACAUACCUUGAUCCAUGAAUCUUACUGCUUUAAUUGGGUUUUGAUUUUCUAAUUGAUACGUGAUUUUCCUUCCUUUUGAUUUUCUUGAAAAAUCUCUGUUAAUGGGAAUGCAGAGAUUCUAUAAAAAAAAAUCACGUUCAAAUUGGAGACCAUAACCACUUUUAAAAUAACUGCUAUUGGCAGUUAUUAACUUUAAGUUAUUUCAAAUCGGCCCCUCAUCAAUUCAAAAUAACACCUUCUGGUCUCUACACUUUAAUCCCAUAAAAUUUAAUACUCAUUAGUCCAAAAUUAAAUCCAAUGGAUCACUUUAUCGACUAAAUUUACUUUAAAAUAGCACCACACAUUCUAAUAAAUGUACAUGUGUGGCCCCCAAAGUUGGAAUUUUUUUCCAACAGGCAUAUCUUGUCUUUUUUACAUUAUUUUGUAAACUUCCACAUUGAUUUUCUCACCUUUAAAAAGGUAAUGUCGAUAAAACACUAUAGCUAACACUUAAUUAUUUUAGAUGUAAGUGUUUCUUUCAUUUUCAAUUCCAAACUCUAGAAAAUAACUGCUCAAUCCUUUUUUAUACAGAAAUCUCAUCAAAAUAAAGUUAAAUACACCGUAAUUUGAGAAGAAAAUUGUUUAAAAUUUUUGACAAGGUGUAGUGAAUUUUUUAGGUUUUUUUUUUUUUUUGUUCACUUAAUAUUUUUUUCUUUACUUAUAUUUGUGAAGGAAAUUUAUACAUACAUACAUAACUUUGAUUUUCAUUUUUUUUUCCCCUCCUUUUCAAGUUUGUUUCAAUCAAAACUUUAUUUUUUUGAAUACAAUGUCGUCAAAAAGAUAUGUUUGCCAUACUUUAUUGUAUUUUAUGUACUAUUAAGUCAAAUUCGACCACUUUUACGUUUUGCUUAACAAAGUUUUGAAUAAAAUAAGUAAUUUUGAGCUCUCUUUCUAUCAACUGCAGUCGGUGCUGCUCACGAGGCACAAGUUAAAAUAUAUAGCUCUGAUUCAGAGUAUUAGAGGUAUUAAAUCCCUAAAAUAGUGUUAUUAUUUUGUUGCGAUAUAAAUUGGAAGGUUAUUACUAUUUAAAUUAUCAUUUGAAAUUAUAUAAUAUAUUUUAUAUUACUUUUUUUUUUUUUUUGUUAUUUUAUAAUUGAGUUUUAUGUUAAUAGAUUUAGUUUCAUUUGCCUUAAAGCUCCGAAAAUUUUAGGUAUGACCAUAAUUUACCAUUUUAUAGUUUAAAAAGAUUUCUCUUUUGAAUAACAAUCUAUAUAUAACCACAUAGCCAUUUGAAUUUGGUCCAUUCAUAUGUCAUAUGUGAUUUUGUUUUGCAUAUGGAUGGUGGAAGGCUGGUGAAUGUCCAAUGUCAAUGGUGACUUUUGUUACGGUGGGUGGGCAGUUGGGUUUGGGUAUUAUCUUGAUUUUUUUUUUAUUUUUUUUAUGAAUUAAAUUUGAGUUUGGCUGAAAAAGAUGAUUUUUUUUUUUUUGGGCCUUUAAUUCUUUUAAGUGAGAUUUAUUUGCACUUUUUAAAGAGUUACAGGACUCUCUUUGCAAAAUAACUGUUUUAUUUCAUUUCUUUCUUUUAUUUUUUGUUUAUUUAAAGAGAAUGACAACCAUCAUUUAAUGGCCAAAAUGGACAAGUUUUGUUACAUAAUUUAAAGGUUGCAAUGAAGAUGUUAAAAAAGUUGAGAAUAACUAUAUUAUAUUUCGUAGAGAAUGGGGACGAAAAGUACAAAGUUCCCUAUUAUUAUUUAUUCUAUAUUCUUAAGGUCGUUCAGUGUUAUCUAAAUGUGGAUAUGAAUUAUCUAAAUCAUGAAAAUUCCUUUUCAAUGAGAGACAAUGUCAAUACAGAAAAAUGAUUUUAAUGGUUGGUAUGGCACACACGUGAAACAUGUGAUUCUACCUAUAACCAACAAAUUUGCGUAGCACGUUAUUUUUAAAUAUUAUAUAUGAAUUUGUGAUUAUAUAGUAUUAUAAUUUAGAUAAAAUUAGAAACAUAGCACAAUGUUAAUUGCUUAAAAAAAAGGUGCUAAACCUAUUGAAUGGCCUCAAGAAAAUAAACAAACAUAAUCAAUGUGUAUUUUUUCUUUCUGUGUAUUUAAAAAUUUAUAUGCUAAGUAUAUGGGAAAUACCUCAAAUUGACCUAAAUAAAGGAAGUAUUUUCCAAAAUAGCCUUCGACUUUUCUAAACAUUUUGGAUUACCUAAAAUACUCUUAAACAAAUAUUAAAAAACAACCCUUUAUCUAAUAUAAAUCUUCUAUUUAAGUCCUUAAAAAAUUAAAAAAUAAUUUUUCUAAAAAUUUGUGAGAAUUAUUAAUGACUAAUUAUAAAAUAGAAAAAUCCAAAUAUAAGAGAGGACCAUAUAAUAUAAAAAAGGUUGUUAAAAAUAAAAAAUAAAAUGAUAAGAUAGGAUAUCAAGAACAAUUAUAUGCAUCACAAGAAAUAUUAAAAUGUUUCAAAGAAAACUUAUUAGAAAAUUUUGCUAAAGGAAUUGUUAGAACAAUAAUUAUAAAAGAUAUACAAGAUAUCAUAGAUAAAUUGGAAAAAAGGAAGAAAAAUAUUUCAAAAUAUGAUAUACAUUUUAGAACAGAUAUAGAUAUGAUAACAGAUAUUGAUAUUGUAAAUUCUCAAACAUUAUUAGACUUUGAAGAAUUACUUAAAAAUCUAUAAGAAGGCAAAUAAAAAAUAGAUUAGUCUUUAUCUUAAGAUUUUAUUUUAACCUAAUAGUAAAAUAAAAGAGUUUUUGGAAUAUAAAAAAAAUUUAGAUUUUUAGAUUCAUGAUUAUUAGAUUUUUAGAUUAUUAGAUUUUUGUUCGCUCAUAAUAGCACCCGCACAAUUGGUAUCAGAGUCAUAGAGAUCACGAGAGAAAAUAUAAAAAAUAAAAUUAUGAUUUUAGAAAUUAUUGAAACUUAUAAAAAUAGACUAAGGUACCAGGUAAAAUAUAGUUCUGACAUAGAAGGAUAUAUAGAAGAAGAUAAUAUAGUUGGAACAUAUAGUAAGGAUGUAAAAGAAAUAUUAGAAAUUUUUAGAGUAAUUAAAAAUCUACCUUUAGAAUUAAAAGAGAAAAUAAUUAAAAGGAUAUUAUUUGAAGAAUAUAAGCAUAUAUAUAUAUAUAUAUAUAUAUUAAGAGAGAAAUAGAUUUCAUAAUAAUCUGAAAUUACUUUAUGGAAAUUAUAAAAAUAAAUAAUUAUUAUCAAUGUAUUGAAGAAAAGGGAUGUUAUAUAUUUUACAACCCCAUCCCUAAUAAAUUAAAAAUAAUAACAUUAUAUAUAACUAGAAAUUUGCCUAGAGAAAUAAAGGAACAAAUAUUACAUAAAUUAAUUGUAGGAUUUAUCAAAGAUAGACGUACAUAUGAAAUAAUUUAUUUGUCACAUGACACUCCUCAAAAAUUCCACGACAUAAACUAUAUGUAUUUUCCCUUCCCCAAAAGUCAGCUAUCUAAUUUAACAUAAGUUAUUUUAAUAUAACGAAUAGCUACUCAACUAAUUUAAAAGAAUUCAUGAAUAGAAAUCAAAACUAUGAAAGAAUUGAUAUUAUUAAAAGAUAAAAAGCAUAGUGAUAAAGAUAAAAUAUAUAAAUCGACAUUUUAAAAAGCACAUGUCGACGUGUCCGUGCAUGAUAGUCUCAAACUUAUAGAUAAAACUCGCCUAACUGCAUUACCCCCACUAAAAUCAAAUAAAUGGCUGUGUUUCCUGUCAAACUAAAUGCAUGCCACGGCUACUGAAACAAUGUUACAUGGGCCAAAAACAGAAAUAAAGCUUAUACCAUUUGUGCUCAUUUCUUUGGUAUAGUUCACAUUCUCAGAAUCUGCUGUAUCACAUAUAUUUGUCCAAUCAUCUAAAUCUAAUGAAAACUCUAUCCCUCAUCCAUCCACCCCAAAACCUCUGCCCUCAGAAAUGUAUAUCUUCAUCCAGAAAAAGACCAAAGCCAUAAAAGCAGUUAAUACAACCCAAAAUUCCACAAAGUCUUGGCUUGCUAAUGAGAGUGAAACCAUUACAAGAAAAUAGUGAUAGAGAACAUCAAGGAAAUGCUUAUGUUUACUUGGAAGCUGAGGACAAUUCUUUGUAAACGAUUGCCACAUACAGUGGCUACUGACUAGUGAUAUAAGUUAGCUUUGAGCUUUACAUUAUCUUUAUUUUCCCCUUUCUGCUUCACAAAGUUUGAAUUGAACCUCAUUCUUAAUCUUACAUUUAACUGACCCCAGACGACACUACCUGGCCCUUUUUCUCACCAUUGUCCAAUUGAGUCUAAAUCUAAUGUAAAAUUCUAUCCCUCUUCCAUCCACUGGAACUCCGCCCUUAACAAAGUACAUCUUCAUCCAAAGUCAAAGACCGUCAAAGCAAUUAAUGCAACCAAAAAUACAAAGUCAUUAAUAGGCAAAAUCCAAAUGCUUACUAUUGAAGUUAUACCAAUACAGAAUGUAGAAUUAGUAGGUAUGAAGGAAAGAUUAUGUUUACUUGUAUGUUAAGGAAUAUUCUUUGUCAACGAUUGCCACGUGAGGAGACUAGCAAGUCAGGAUCCAAAUUAUUGGAGAGAAAUAUUAAGUAAUGUUUAAUUCUAUUUCUGUCUUUCUAGCCAUAACAUUCUAGCAACAUUUACUUUUCAAGAGUGCUUGUUAUUUAAGUACCAACGCAUAAACAAUUGUAUGAAAUAAAAACUGUUAGUAUUUGAGAAGCCACAGAUAAAAAUGAUUUUUAUCAAAGAAAAAUUAGUGCAAUAAAUAAAUAACUUGUGCAAAUAUCCAUAAAAUGGAAGAAUAAUUGCUAAUAAUGUGUCCAAAUUACUUAUGUCAGUUUAAAUUACAUACAGUACCCUUUGAAUCGACAUCCAUAAACUGGAAGAAGAAUUACUAAAACAAGAUAUAAUAAUUAUCAUGAUUAAUUUCGUCAAACUUUCAUAAGACAUGUAACUACUAACUUUGUUCAAGACCAAAAUACGAGACUGUUACUCAUCAAACAUGAAUAUCUACGUAGACACCAUAAGGAAUUGAACUCUCAUCUUAUUCUCCUAAAAAAUGGAGAGAAAUCAUAAUCAAUUGUUAAUCAGAAGAAAAAUGCAUCAGGCAGCCAGCACCAAUCAUCCUGUCCUAUAAGCCAAACUUAUCUUGUUGGUAUUCAAUAAUUUGGAUCUCACAAGAAGUUUCAUUUAUCAAGACAAAAAGUACAAAAUGCAACCGUACAAUUGGGCAAGAAUCUCAAUAUGAUGAAACAAUGAAGAAUCCAUAAACAAAGUACACAAUCCAAGUAAAAGAAUAAUAAUUAUGCAAUCAUUAGAUAAUUUACAAAGAUAUGAAGAAUGGUACUUACCCAUUAGCAUCCAGGAUUUCUCUUGAAAUUUUCAUCUUCUUAGUAGUUCCCUUAUAGAGCUCUUCAAGUGUACAAGGCAACCUCUGCUCAAUUGGAGCUCCUUUCCGCGGUGCUGAUUGAUAUCCACCACCACCUCCUUCGCCAUAAGAUGCAAACAUAUCAUCAUCAAACAUGCCACCAAACCUAGCAUUCCUCAUUCCACUACCACCACCUCCCAUUCCUCCAAAGGGGCUAGAAAAUCCAAAAAACUCAUUGAAUAUAUCGUCAGCAUUUCUGGUAUUGAAUCGGAAAGAUGUAGGUCCACCCCCUGUGGAGAAGAAAGUGGGCCCCCCAGCACCACCGGCGUCAGGAGGUGGCACCUGCCCCUUCAGCCCAUCUUCA